rnacentral:lncRNA from 1 species
CUGAGUACGGGGCAGGACUCUCUCUGGGAUGGAGGGGUCUUAGGACCUGCAAGCAAACAAGCACAGAGGCAGUAGUAGAAGCCAUGAGUCUGAUAAGUUUGCUGAAGGAGAGAGUGUGCUAUGAGGACGGAUCGUUGACAAGACCCUGGAGGACACAAGGACCUAAGAGCCCCUAAGAGGAGACAGAGAAGGUGCUGUCCCACAAAGUGCAAGAUGUCCCAGGAGAGAGGUGUCCAGGGGAUGACUGUGCGGG